AGAGAACCAGCCGCCCGCGUUCCAGAGUGAAGUGAUUUGGCUGCAUCUCCAAUUGUGGUAUUUUCCAUUUGUCAAAGUCAAAGCUAUCCCUUUUGUUGAUUAAUUCUGGAGAAAGUUGAAGUCUUUGUACUCCUGUGAUUGACGUGGUGCCUGACUCUGCCAGAUUUUGCCUUGGAUAUGCUGCAAUGGAGUUUUGCUCUGUCACCAGGUUCCAUGAUCUCAGCUCACUGCAACCUCCACCUCCUGGUUCAAGAGAUUCUCUUGCCUCAGCAUCCUGAGUAGCUGGGAUUACAUGCAAGCACCACAACACCUAGCUAUUUGUGUGUG
rnacentral:lncRNA from 1 species